AUUGAACGCUGGCGGCAGGCCUAACACAUGCAAGUCGAGCGGAUGAAGGGAGCUUGCUCCUGGAUUCAGCUGCGGACGGGUGAGUAAUGCCUAGGAAUCUGCCUGGUAGUGGGGGAUAACGUCCGGAAACGGGCGCUAAUACCGCAUACGUCCUGAGGGAGAAAGUGGUGGAUCUUCGGACCUCACGCUAUCAGAUGAGCCUAGGUCGUAUUAGCUAGUUGGUGGGGUAAAGGCCUACCAAGGCGACGAUCCGUAACUGGUCUGAGAGGAUGAUCAGUCACACUGGAACUGAGACACGGUCCAGACUCCUACGGGAGGCAGCAGUGGGGAAUAUUGGACAAUGGGCGAAAGCCUGAUCCAGCCAUGCCGCGUGUGUGAAGAAGGUCUUCGGAUUGUAAAGCACUUUAAGUUGGGAGGAAGGGCAGUAAGUUAAUACCUUGAUGUUUUGACGUUACCAACAGAAUAAGCACCGGCUAACUUCGUG
rnacentral:rRNA from 1 species